GACAGGGGUCUCGAGCGUUAAUCGGAAUUACUGGGCUUAAAGGGUGCGUAGGCGGCCUUGUAAGUGUCUUGUGAAAUCCCCCGGCUCAACCGGGGAACCGCGGGACAUACUGCGAGGCUCGAGGAAGGUAGAGGCCGGUGGAACGAUAGGUGGAGCGGUGGAAUGCGUAGAGAUCUAUCGGAACGCCAAAGGUGAAGACAGCCGGCUGGGCCUUUCCUGACGCUGAGGCACGAAAGCGUGGGGAGCAAACCGG
rnacentral:rRNA from 1 species